UUAGAGUUUGAUCCUGGCUCAGAACGAACGCUGGCGGCGUGCCUAACACGUGCAAGUCGAACGGUUAGAUGGCUUCGGUCAUCUGAUAGUGGCGCACGGGUGAGUAAUGCAUAGGAACGUACCUAGAGGUGGGGAAUAACUGCGGGAAACUUCAGCUAAUACCCCAUGAAGUCGCAAGACCAAAGGAGGCCUCUUUUUGAAAGCUUCCGCCCCUAGAUCGGCCUAUGUCCCAUUAGCUAGUUGGUAGGGUAAAAGCCUACCAAGGCGACGAUGGGUAGCUGGUCUGAGAGGACGAUCAGCCACACUGGAACUGAGAUACGGUCCAGACUCCUACGGGAGGCAGCAGUGGGGAAUCUUGCACAAUGGGCGAAAGCCUGAUGCAGCAACGCCGCGUGGGUGAAGAAGGUCUUUGGAUUGUAAAGCCCUUUCGGUUAGGAAGAAGGGCUAUCGGGAUAAUACCUCGGUAGUCUGACGGUACUAGAAGGAGAAGCACCGGCUAAUUCCGUGCCAGCAGCCGCGGUAAUACGGAAGGUGCGAGCGUUGUUCGGAAUAAUUGGGCGUAAAGAGCACGUAGGUGGGUUGGUGUGUCAGAUGUGAAAUCCCUGGGCUUAACCUGGGAAUUGCAUUUGAAACUGCCAGUCUUGAAUACUUGAGGGGUUGGAGAAAUUCCAGGUGUAGGAGUGAAAUCCGUAGAGAUCUGGAGGAAUACCGGAGGCGAAGGCGUCCAACUGGCAAUGUAUUGACACUGAGGUGCGAAAGUGCGGGGAGCAAACAGGAUUAGAUACCCUGGUAGUCCGCACCAUAAACGAUGGAUACUAGGUGUUUGGGAAGUUAACCUCCUGAGUACUGAAGCUAACGCAUUAAGUAUCCCGCCUGGGGAGUACGGUCGCAAGGCUAAAACUCAAAGGAAUUGACGGGGACCCGCACAAGCGGUGGAGUAUGUGGUUUAAUUCGAAGCAACGCGCAGAACCUUACCUACCCUUAACAUCCCAGGACGCAUGCAGAGAUGUAUGCUUCACUUCGGUGACCUGGAGAUAGGUGCUGCAUGGCUGUCGUCAGCUCGUGUCGUAAGAUGUCUGGUUAAGUCCAAAAACGAGCGCAACCCCUGUCCUUAGUUACCAUCAUUAAGUUGGGGACUCUAAGGAGACUGCCGGUGUUAAACCGGAGGAAGGCGGGGAUGACGUCAAGUCCUCAUGGCCCUUACGGGUAGGGCUACACACGUACUACAAUGGCAGAAACAAACCGUCGCGAAGCCGCGAGGUGGAGCUAAUCGGUAAAACACUGUCUCAGUUCGGAUUGAAGUCUGCAACUCGACUUCAUGAAGCUGGAAUCGCUAGUAAUCGCUGAUCAGCAAGCAGCGGUGAAUACGUUCCCGGGUCUUGUACACACCGCCCGUCACACCACGAAAGUGGUCAUCACCAGAAGUAUGUGAGCUAACCGCAAGGAGGCAGCAUACCAAGGUUAUGGCCGCAAUUGGGGUGAAGUCGUAACAAGGUAACC
rnacentral:rRNA from 1 species